AUUUUGGACAAUGGGCGCAAGCCUGAUCCAGCCAUUCCGCGUGAGUGAAGAAGGCCUUCGGGUUGUAAAGCUCUUUCGGACGGAAAGAAAUCGCUCAGGCUAAUACCCUGCGCGGAGGACGGUACCGUCAUAAGAAGCACCGGCUAACUACGUGCCAGCAGCCGGGGUAAUACGGAAGGUGGGAGUGUUAAUCGGAAUUACUGGGCGUAAAGAGUGGGCCGGGGGGUGAUUAAUGCCGGCGUUGAAAACCCCGGCUUAACCUGGGAACUACGCUUGUGACUGGUCAGCUAGAGUACGGCAGAGGGGGGUGGAAUUCCACGUGUAGCAGUGAAAUGCGUAGAGAUGUGGAGGAACACCGAUGGCGAAGGCAGCCCCCUGGGCCGAUACUGACGCUCAUGCACGAAAGCGUGGGUAGCAAACAGG
rnacentral:rRNA from 1 species